GACGAACGCUGGCGGCGUGCCUAAUACAUGCAAGUAGGACGAGUUGCGAACGGGUGAGUAACGCGUGGUAACCUACCUAUUAGAGGGGGAUAACUAUUGGAAACGAUAGCUAAUACCGCAUACAAUCGGAUGUGCCCAGAUGGGAUUAGCUAGUAGGUGGGGUAACGGGUAACCUAGGCGACGAUCCCUAGCGGGUCUGAGAGGAUGACCAGCCACACUGGAACUGAUACACGGUCCAGACUCCUACGGGAGGCAGCAGUGGGGAAUAUUGCAAAAUGGGUGCAAGCCUGAUGCAGCCAUGCCGUGUGUAUGAAGAAGGCCUGCGGUUUGUAAAGUCCUUUCAGCGAGUAGGCGUUACUCGCAGAAGAAGCACCGGCUAACUCCGUGCCAGCAGCCGCGGUAAUUC
rnacentral:rRNA from 1 species